CAUGCAGUAUUGCGUUUAUUCUCUAAUGCAGUGGAUUUUAGUUUAGCAGUGAUGGUACCUAUUGUUCAAUAAACUGUGUGGUCAGCUUGUUUAAUGUAGUGCUUGUGCACACUUAUUUGUUAGAUGUAUAGUUGGAGUGCGGAAAAGUCCACCCUCCGUUUUUAAGUAUGAACUGAAGCGAUCUUGUAAAGUGACCGUUACAGUAUACAAUAUUAUAAAAUAUUAUCACGUCAUCAGGUCGGUCGAGCAGAUGCUUAUUAAUGCAGGGGUGACAACUUUCAUUCGUUUGGCACUUGGCAAAUAAUAAUCCAAAUACUUAUCAUGUAAUGUUUUAUAAUAUCAUGUCUACAAACCAAACCCACGUAUUAUGCCUUUCAUGACGUCUUACGUUCGAAUAGCUCAUAACAUCUCUGAGGUAAAUUAUUCCCCGAGGCUAAUGUUAGUAACGCUUGUUCAGUUUACGAUCUCAACGUUACCGAGCAUAUCUUCUGAAUAUCUUUUUUGCGAAACACAAUCGACGAUAAACGACAUUCAACUAAAACAUCUGUGGCCUUCACGAGCAUCCAGUUAGCGUCGAUCGUCGUGUCUCAAGAGACCAUCGUGCCUCAGGUCAACAUGAACUGCAGCCUGCAAGAAGAUCAACCACAGAAGACUGCCUUCUUCAGGAGAAAAUGGCGGGCAGUUAAAAGAAUAUUGACUGGGAGUAACAGAGGGAGUUACCGGUUUGACCAUCCUCCAUCCAGUUUCGAGCCUGACCCAUCCUGCCCUAGACUUGUGUCAUUCAGGAAACUGGAUGAUCCACAGCCUGGUCCAACGACUAAAUCCCAUCUGGCUGAAAUGGACCCAGCCAAAAAUAAGCCAGUCGUGCACGAGCGAGCCAACCCUCAGCCUCCACCCGUCACAGCAGACACCGGGAUUGCUGGGAAGCCGUUCCGAGCCACGCAGGUCUGGAAUAGCGUCGUCGACAACCUUCAGACGCAGGUGAAGGUGAAGAAGAGACGACACAAUCUGAAAAUCUAUCAGGAUUGUUUUUCGGGCUCGGAAGCUGUGGAUGUGGUUCUGGCUCAUAUCAUUCAGAGCAAGGUCUGCAAAGAUGCAGAGGUGCCUCGAUCCAAAGCCGUUCGACUCUGCCAGCACCUCAAUGAUGCCGAUGUCUUUGAGGAGGUGGACACCAACGUUUUUAGGAAGAAUAAGAGUCAUGCGAAAUUUAAGGACAGCAGCUAUAGUCUGUAUAGGUUUCUCCCGACCACGGGCACAUCAAGCACACCAUGGAUUAGGCACAUCAUCCCCAGAGACCAUCGAGAGAAGUUUUAACUCGCUUCAGAGGAACAGCAAGAGUCCACCCUACCAAAGUCCAUCUCUCCACAGACACCGGGAUUGCUGGGAAGCCGUUCCGAGCCACGCAGGUCUGGAAUAGCGUCGUCGACAACCUUCAGACGCAGGUGGAGGUGAAAAAGAGACAACAAUCUGAAAAUCUAUCAGGAUUGUUUUUCGGGCUCGGAAGCUGUGGACGUGGUUCUGGCACAUAUUAUUCAGAGCAAGGUCUGCAAAGAUGCAGAGGUGCCUCGAUCCAAAGCCGUUCGACUCUGCCAGCACCUCAAUGAUGCCAAUGUCUUUGAGGAGGUGGACACCAACGUUUUUGGAAGAAUAAGAAUCAAGCGAAAUUUAAGGACAGCAGCUAUAGCCAGUAUAGGUUUCACCCGACCACGGGCACAUUAAGCACACCAUGGAUUAGGCACAUCAUCCCCAGAGACCAUCGAGAGAAGUUUUAACUCGCGUCAAAGGAACAACAACCAAAGACACCGGGAUUGAUGGGAAGCUCUUCCGAGCCACGCAGAUCUGGAAUAGCGUAGUCGACAACCUUCUGACGCAGGUUAAGGUGAAGUGAUUAUUGUAAAUGAAAUGAUCACAUACAACAGUUUUGAUAUACUAGGCCUUAUGUUGUGUUCAGACCAAACGCGAAUGGCGUGUUAAGCGCGAGUGAUUUACAAGUCAAUGCAAAGACACGAUAGACCUACUUGCGGCGCGAUUUGCGCGAAUGAGGCCGUGCGAAUGACGUGAAUUGCGCAAAUGAUGCGAAUCGCACGAUUCGAGUUAAAAAAUUUGAACUUUGGUGAAAAUUUGCGCCGUGUUAACCAAUCAGGUCGGACAAUCUGGCAAGUUGUAAAAAACAAUCUUUACAAUAUCUGAGCAAUAUAUGUAUAUACGAGAAUAGAGCCGCCAAUUUGCGUCUGAAGUGAAGUGAUUUUGACGCGCGAAUAAAGCGAAUUUGACGUGCGAAUGAAGCGAGUAAACUCAAAAUGUUCCAGCGUCUAACUGCGCGCGAAUAGCGCGAUGCAUUUGCGCAAGUCGCGUUUGGUCUGAACACACAGUUGUUGAAACCUGGCUUAAGCCAAAUGAUUAUUUCGGUCUAAAUGAGUCUACUCCACCAAGCUACGGUUAAAUGCAUGAGCCAGGUCCGGUUGGUCGAGGUGGUGGUGUCGCAACAAUCUUUAGAGACCUUCUUACCGUAAUUCAAUGAACAAAGCAUGCAUUUAAAUCAUUUGAAGUGCUUGUGUUGAACAUAAUUGUUCCAAACAAAUGUAAAAAAUCAUUGCUCUCUCUUACAUUGGCUACUAUGUAUAGACUCCCAGGGCCAUACCCUAAUUUUCUGAUAGAGUUCGCAAACUUUUUUGUGUAACAAUACAUCAAUAGACCUAUUCAUCGACUUAAUCAUACACUAGAAUUUAUUAUAUCUCACGGAGCCGAUCUAACCAAAAUCGAUAUUAUACCUCAAAGCGACGAUGUUACCGAUCACCAUCCUAUAAUAUGUACACAGUGUACUGCAGAAAUCAGUCGUAUAGCUGGUUAUCGACAGUGUAGAAAUAUCACCUCAACUACUAAAGAUAGUUUCGUAAAGAACUUGCCAGAUCUGACUCCUUUAAUAACCUUGCCAACAAAUACAGAAUUGCUCAAUGACAUGACCAGCAACAUGGGCACUAUUUUCUCUCAUACAUUAGAAGCGGUCGCACCUAUGAAGUCAAAAAAGAUUAAUGAAAAGAUCAUAGCACCAUGGUUUAAUAGCACCACUCGCGCCCUAAAAAGAGAAACACGUAAACUGGAGCACAAAAUGGAAACAAACCCAAUUAGAGGUCUUUAAAAUUGCAUGAAAAGAGAGCAAAAACCAAGUUCCAAACUUCCAACUGUUACAAAAAGGAACUAAAAGCAGCAAAAGCCGAGCACUUCCGUUACCUCAUAGAAACAAACAAAAACAAUCCAAGGUUUUUAUUUGGUACAAUUGCUAAACUAACAAACAAACCGACUUCACCUGACCUGGCUAUUCCGCCGCACCUUGAUAGCAAUGAAUUCAUGACAUUUUUUACAGAGAAAUUCUAAAUAUGCGAGACAACAAACCUCCAAGUGUGACUGAAGAAUAAGUAAUCAAACAUCACCCCAAAAGAAAAGCUACAGUGUUUUUCUCCUAUAAAACAGGAAGAUUUAAUUAAACUUAUUGCAAACCGACAGCAUGCUUAUUAGACCCCAUUCCAACGACAUUAUUAAAAGAGUUACUGUUGCAAUUGAGCCCAUUUACAACACUAUCAACUCGUCAAUUAAUCUAAGCCAUGUCCCAGGACCCUUUAAACUGGCUGUAAUUAAGCCUCUUUUUUAAAAAAAACUUAUACCCCAAUGAACUUGGAAGCUAUAGACCGAUUUGAAAUCUCCCGUACUUGUCUAAAAAUAAAGUAGUGUCCACUCAGUUGUGUACUUUCCUUCAAAAUAAUGACAUACACAAAAAGUUUCAGUCUGGCUUUAGACCGCAUCAUAGCAUUGAAACUGCGCUAGUUAGAAUUACAAAUGACCUUCUUAUUGCAUCAGAUAAAGGUAACAUUUCACUCUUAGUCCUGCUUGACCUUAGUGCUGCUUUCGAUACUGUAGACUAGAGGUGCGCGGAUGAGCUAAAAUGUCACCCGCAACCGCUGCUUCAAAUAAAUGAUCCACCCGCCACCCGCCCGCACGUAUAAUUUUCUCUGAUAUAAAUAUCCGCAACCGAUCGUCACUUUAAUUACUCUGCUGCCAAUCUCUGAUGGUACAAUAAUACACUGAUCGUAAAAUGCUUUUAAAGGAACAUUUAUUUAUUAAACAAAAGUUUGUCUUCGGCCAGAUUAGCCUACAUUUUCUUAGUCAAAUAAACACAGGCGUACAUAAUCCCUUCAGACUUUUAAUAUCGCCGAUUCUGUCACUGCCACACAUACACAAAUGAAUGACUGGAUAACUGUACAUUUUCUAGCACUGUCUAUGUCUGCAAAUGCUUAAAUCUAAUCCUUCGAUUUAGCACACACAUGAUGUACCAUAUUCAAGGUCUUGUGGCUUUCAUAUACACACACAAUGCCUCACCGUCGUUGCUCACACACGAUACUUUUCUUUCUUUUGUCCUUCGUUUUGUUUUGUUUUUAAUUCUUUAGAAUUCUUAUUCUUUUAAUUUGUUUUAACAUCUUUUAAGCCAAGCUUUCCCUUAAUGCAUAGUUAACGAACAGCAGCUACGCUAAUUAUUCUCUUUCUGCCCCCUCCUCGGGAUGCCCAUCCCGAGAUAGGGAGAAAUUCCACCAGGUCCAGAGGAUCGACAGAUGCCCAUCCACAACUAGAGAUUACGCCAGCUACAGCUGCAGCUGCUUUGGAUCAAUGCACAUUGUGAAAAGCACUAUAUAAACUAUAAAAUCUUGAAUUGACUUGAAGAGGAGACGACACAAUCUGAAAAAAAUGCUAGUUUUUUGGGCUCGUAAGCUGUGAAUCGGGUUCUGGCUCAUAUCGUUCAGAGCAAGGUCUCCAAAGAUGCAGAGGUGCCUCGAUUCAAACCCGUCUGACUCUGCCAGGCCCACAUGGAAGCCAAGAUCUUCGAGGAGUUUCAAUUGAUUCCCUUUAUGAAAGAUGUGCAAAGGAGAUUUUGUGACGACUUCAUCAGAGUUGUACCCAGGGAGCCAGAGAGAAGAUAUAUUCAAUGUGCGGAUGAGCCAUGGAGCUUGCUCACUUGAAGCGCAUCAGAUAAGAUGCCGAAUUAAUUACAGUCUGGUCACACUGCAAACUGUCGUAUUAAACAAUACACAGACGUGAGGCCUUAGACCAAAAAGGUCUAAGUGACUGAAGAACCAACCUUUGACACCAGAGAUGUGCAGCCAGAGAAGAGCAUACAGUAUGAGAAUUCUGGAAGCAGUGGACCCACACUGGGAUUGAGAAAAAACGUUCUAUGUGUAGUGGGACAUGAAUUUCACACUUUAAUGUAGAUGCAGCUACAGUUCACUCAUUUACAGUAGUUGCAACUUCAAUUCACUGCCAAAUGAACUCCUGAUAAAUGCAGGUAAUGAGAAUUGCAUUUACAGAAAUUCUAUGUAGUGUCCACUGAACCCAAUUUAACUGGGUCUUUAAUUGUUGAUGAUGUCAUCACAGAAAGUUGCUGUAGUUAGACUGUGUCAUAACAAAUGCAGAGUGACUCCGGUUUCCGUACACAUGAGGAGCGAUUAUUAUUUAAGGCAGUGGUUUUCAAACUUUUCAGAUCAAGAACCACCUUUAAAAAAAUCAGUUGUUCCAAGUUCCACCUAAUGACCGCCAUAGAAAAUCAUAUGAAAAGACAUUCAAAUUAAUAGUAGAGCUGUGAAUCUUUAUAUUUACGCCCCGUCCUCCAAUUCUAACUUAUUAUUAAUAAUACAAAUACUUUUUGAAAAUGAAAUACAGUAUGUGUUUAUCAGCGAUCUGUGUCUAACUGUUUCAGUUUGUUUGCCAGUAUGAAUUGUUGUAAAGCAGGUUUAUACAAAACGUAUCUGUGAGAACAGUUAUGAUAAACGUCAUACCUCAAUGCCAUACUCUUCCUGACUUGACACAUUUGUACAUCCUAUCCAAAACACUGCGGUAAUCAGAGAAUGACUGGACCAGUCAAUGGCACACAAUCGUUCCUUUUAUUCUUGACUUUCAACCUGAUCGUAUACUCGCAUUGUUCUUAUUAAAAACUCCCAUUUAUUUCUUAAGUACUAUCUGUCUGAACAACUGGUGAAACUUGUAAGCCGCUUUGAAUUGAAACUCUCUCCCUGACUUUAGAUGUUUGACCAAACACCAAUCGAAAUCGUCUUUGUGGAAGGACAUUAAAGCUUUUCAGCCAUCUUUAAAACUUCAAAAUCAGCAAAAAAGCCAGCAGGUCACAUUCCACAUCUCUAUAAGACUGCUUCAAAAUAACAACAUACAUAAACAUGUAAUAAAAUGAAUAUACAAUAAAAUUCUACAAGUUGUUUAUUUAAUACCAGUAUACAAUACAAUAUUAAUUUAUACAAAAAAAUCUUAAGUGCUCAAAUUUUUGCAGAAAAAAUACAGUGUUUGUAUUUUUAGGCAGGAUAGUUCUACAAAAAGACAAAUCACAAAUGUUAUUACAUCUGACCAAAACUGUCAAUGUUCUUUUAUUUUUCAAAACUCGAAAUCUCACUUUUUGUUUUAGUGAUCUGAAACCCCUAAAGAUUAAUAACCUCAAUUUAAAUGUGGUGUUUGUUUGAAUUUUACUAAAUCUCCCUAAAUUCUGUGAUAUACUGUGAUAGAUGUGGUUGGUGGUGUGAGGUAAGAAAAAUAAUCGAAAUGUAUUUAAUACAGUAAUAAAUCAAUUAGAAAUUAAUACAAA